rnacentral:ncRNA from 1 species
ACCAUGAUGUUUUCGCUCUGGCAUAGAUUCAAUCCCACUCGUUGCUGGGCACCCGGCUUUGAGAUGUCGUCUUGACUGUCUUGGAGAAGCCGGGAAUCAGCUGUAGUGACAUUU